UAGUGGCGAACGGGUGAGUAAUACUUGGGAAUCUGCCUUGUAGCGGGGGAUAACGUUUCGAAAGGAACGCUAAUACCGCAUACGUCCUACGGGAGAAAGGAGGGGAUCUUCGGACCUUCCACUAUAAGAUGAGCCCAAGCGAGAUUAGCUAGUUGGUAAGGUAAAGGCUUACCAAGGCGACGAUCUCUAGCUGGUCUGAGAGGAUGAUCAGCCACACUGGGACUGAGACACGGCCCAGACUCCUACGGGAGGCAGCAGUGGGGAAUAUUGGACAAUGGGCGAAAGCCUGAUCCAGCCAUGCCGCGUGUGUGAAGAAGGCCUUCGGGUUGUAAAGCACUUUAAGCGAGGAGGAAUGGCUCUGGGUUAAUACCCUUGAGCAGUGACGUUACUCGCAGAAUAAGCACCGGCUAACUCUGUGCCAGCAGCCGCGGUAAUACAGAGGGUGCAAGCGUUAAUCGGAAUUACUGGGCGUAAAGCGCGCGUAGGCGGUUACGUAAGUUGGAGGUGAAAUCCCCGAGCUCAACUUGGGAAUUGCCUUCA
rnacentral:rRNA from 1 species